AUGUCUGCCUCCUCUUCCAAAAAAAAGAGCAAGGGGCGCCUGGCCGCGGCCAGCGGCUCCCCGCGGGAUGCUCCCCUCGGGGCUGCUGAGGGCGGGCCGCUGGCGCUGCGCGUCGCCGACGCCGUGGAGGCAGGAGAUGACAAAGUCCCGAAAAUGCUGCGCAGAACCCUGGCGCAGCUGUCGCUGAGCAGCAUGAAGUCUGCGGAGCUGUGCAUAGGGCGGCCGGUCCUGCUCACCUCAGCUGAUGGGCGGCAGGAGGUAUGUACUGCUUGGCCCACUGCAGGCUUUCCAGGUGGGAAAAUUGGGCUGAAUGAAACCACACAGAAGAACCUGAAAGUAAAUCCAGGUGAUGGUGUCAGUGUGCAACCUGUGACUGGUGCAGUCAUCCAGGCAGAGGAAGUCGAUGUAAAGUUGAGGGACAAAGAUGCCACCAUUAAUGCCGAGGAAAUGUCUGUGUGUCUGCUGAGAAACCUUGAUGGGAAGAUAGUUCUACCAGGAAACCUCUUGGCUUUCACUUUCUAUGGCAAACUGUGCAACAUCAUGGUGAUGAGAGUGAAAGGAACUGAUGGUGCAGAGCUGAGCGCCCAGGGCAGCGCCAUUCCCAGUGACCCAGACCCUGAGACAUCCGAGUUGGAGACAAGUGCCUUGGAUUUGUCCCUGCAGCUCAGCAGAAUGGACAUUGGUGAUAGCCCAGAGGUUGCAUCUUUGAGCACACCAAGCACAGCGCUGGAUGCAGGCUCACCAGUUACACCCAGUUCUGUGACAGCCAGCGGUCAAGACUUGGGUCAGGGAGAGAAAACCUACGGCAAGGGAGAUGGUGCAGACCUCGCCGAGGAUUUGGAGUUGGCUGGAAAAAGCAGCAGUGAAGGACUCCCAAUAGUGGGCAAAACUGGAGCAAUAAGCAAUACAGACUCUUUUUACUUCAUUUCUUCAAGAACUAGGAUCAAUUUUGUUGAACACAGGACCAGUGUAGCAGAAGAUGGCGAUUGUGAGUCCCGAGUCACCUAUGACAUGAUAGGAGGCUUGAGCAGCCAGCUCAGAACUAUUAGAGAAACAGUUGAACUGCCCUUGAAGCAACCUGAACUGUUCAAGAGUUACGGAAUCCCCCCUCCUCGAGGAGUGCUGUUAUAUGGCCCCCCAGGUACCGGCAAGACUCUGAUUGCCAAAGCCAUCGCGAAUGAGGUUGGCGCUCACGUCACUGUUAUUAAUGGGCCUGAAAUAAUAAGCAAGUUUUAUGGGGAGUCUGAAUCGAGGUUACGUCAGAUCUUCGCUGAAGCCUCUCUGCGUCGCCCGUCAAUUAUAUUUAUAGAUGAAUUGGAUGCACUCUGUCCGAAGAGAGAGGGGGCUCAGAAUGAAGUGGAAAAGAGAGUUGUUGCUUCAUUGCUGACGUUAAUGGAUGGCAUUGGCUCAGAAGGCAGUGAAGGGCAGCUCUUGGUGCUUGGGGCCACCAAUCGCCCCCAUGCUCUGGAUGCAGCUCUGCGCAGACCCGGCCGUUUCGACAAAGAGAUAGAAAUCGGAAUUCCCAAUGCCCGGGACCGCCUGGACAUACUCCAGAAGCUGCUCAGGAGAGUUCCCCAUUCGCUCACAGAGGCAGAGUUGGUGCAGCUGGCUGAUGGUGCACAUGGUUAUGUGGGUGCAGACUUAGCAGCCUUGUGCAAGGAAGCAGGUUUGCACGCCUUGCGGAGAGCGCUGGGGAAGAGCCCUAACCUGUUAGACACCGAGGUGGCUGGGUCAGUGAUGAUUGCUUUCAAUGACUUCCUGCAGGGGAUGAAUGAUGUCAGGCCCAGUGCCAUGAGGGAGGUGGCAAUUGAUGUGCCAAAAGUCUCUUGGUCAGACAUAGGAGGACUAGAAGACGUGAAGCUGAAAUUGAAGCAGGCAGUUGAGUGGCCUCUCAAACAUCCCGAGUCCUUCAUCCGCAUGGGGAUCCAGCCUCCAAAAGGUGUGCUCCUUUACGGACCUCCUGGAUGCUCGAAGACCAUGAUAGCAAAAGCUUUGGCCCAUGAAAGUGGUCUCAACUUCUUGGCAGUGAAGGGGCCUGAGUUGAUGAAUAAAUACGUUGGUGAGUCUGAACGAGCAGUGAGAGAGAUCUUCAGGAAAGCCAGAGCGGUGUCUCCUUCAAUUCUUUUCUUUGAUGAGAUAGAUGCCUUGGCAGUUGAAAGGGGAAACUCCUCAGGUGCUGGAAAUGUAGCAGACCGUGUCUUGGCUCAGUUGCUGACAGAAAUGGAUGGGAUAGAACAGCUGAAGGACGUGACAAUUUUGGCAGCUACAAACAGACCGGACAUGAUCGACAAGGCCUUGCUGAGACCAGGACGCAUAGACAGAAUUAUCUACGUGCCGUUGCCAGACGCAGCCACUCGCAGGGAGAUCUUCAAACUUCAUUUUCGGUCCAUGCCAGUGAGCGAUGAAGUCUGCUUAGCUGAGCUCGUUGAGCACACACAGAAGUACUCAGGAGCAGAGAUAACAGCAGUCUGUAGAGAAGCAGCCCUUCUGGCUCUCCAGGAGGACAUCCAUGCCCAAUCCAUCACGGGACGGCACUUUCGGUGCGCGCUGAGUGUCGUGACCCCGAGGAUUCCCGACUCGUUAAUCCAGUUCUAUGCAGAUUAUCAGCAGCAGAGUGGACUGCACACACUUUGAAAGGCAAAUGUAAUACACACCCUGUUCACAGGGCGAAUAGCAAAUUUCCUUUGUAAAGCUGUCAGAAGCCAAAGAAUUUUGUAUUGAGAGGGAGUGGAGUAUCCAAAGUUAAUUAAACGCAGAAUUACUGUAAUAAAUGUCCACGUGGAAGUUUUGAGUGUAAUGGAUAUUGUCCUAAACUUUAUAUUUUACCAUUUCAGCGGUAUAAACUGCGUUUUACGGGUAGUAAGAUUGCUGAUUUAAGUUAGUUUAUCUCAGUGUAUAUCCAUUUUUUUAAAAAAAUUAUCAAAUUCUGAAAUUUUGGUGGCUUCUGGGCCCUAAAGAGAGAACCAACAAGUGCCAUUACUGUCUUCAUUUGUUGCUGCCUCAGCCACAGUUUAGUCCCAGGGACCAUCCCAGUGAGGCAGAGACCCGGGGAGUGGCCUCUCUAUAAAAAAUGCUGAAAAUUAUUGUGAAUCUUUUGAUUUAUGAUCUCCAGCAAAGCUGCCAAACAGGCUUUCCGAGAUAAAGCUGAAGUAUCCUGAUUGAUUACAGCCAAACAUUUAUCUUUGGUCUUAACCAACUCCUGUUCAGACCUACUGGCAAGAAGGCACCUUAAAAACUGUCCAUCCCUUGACUAACCUGAGCCCACAAUGAAAGAUUUUUGUUGCUGAUGUUUGUUUCCAUCAAAAUAAAUAGGCAUGUUGAUUGGUUAAAUUUAAAGCUGGCCACUUUAAUGAAUCCUAAUUAAUGAAUAAGAAAACCUCCGUGCAAAAAACUGUUAUAAAUGACCACAAAAUACUCGGGGGAUGGAUAAAAUCUUUUUGAAUUAUAUCUUUGUCUGUUGAAAUGGUGACAGGUCCUUGUGGGCUCUCUGCUCUUGCACUUGGGAUGAAAUGCAGUUGAGCAAACUAAUAUCCUUUUUUUUUUCCCCACAACAGAAAGACUGAGCUUUUCCAUUCCAGGCAUAAAAAGUAGAGGGAAAGGUAAACCAAAACCAAUCCAAACCUUAAAAAAAAUAAUAAUAAUUAAAAAAAAGGAGACAAGAACCUAAAAUUCAGUGGGUAACUCUGUAUUUUCCUGGUAUUUUGCAGGUAAGUAGAAGAAUUUACAGGUCAGAAUUUUAUUCAAGUCCUCCUUUUAUUUGUUGAAGUAAACGAGAUAUGACAUUUUGGGCUUUAGGUAAGGUUAUUUUUUGGAUUUGUUCAUUGAUGGUUCUGAAGACUUUUCUUUCCUGCAGCCAUUCUAUAUGUAAACCUGAGAGAGUAGUAAUUGUUUAGAAAUUUAUAUCAUUUUAUGAGGAAUUUGUAUAUCCAGAGAUAUUUCUACUAUAUUUACUUAUCAGUAUGAAAUGUAAAGAGUAAUUUCUUCACCUUGAUUUUGGCUUUUCCCCUCCUUACUUAGUUCCACACCAUACACAAUCUGUGGCUUUUAAGCAGAAAUCUGAUAUUUUUACAUGACCACUUUUCUAUUACUUUUGUGCUAACCUACUGUUUCUGUAAUUAGCAUUUAAUUUUACUAACACUGACAAGGAUUAAGGGAUGAGGAAAAGCAGGCCAUUUACUUAGUUCAGCUGAUCUAUGUGCAGGUUUUUUUCUUUUUUUUCAUUGUUAGUCUCUUUAAUAGUCCAAAGGCAGAGGGAGUUAAGAAAAUUAUAAAGUGGAAAAGUUUGCCUUGGAGAUCAAGACUGCAAAUGAAGCUACUUUAGUCUUCUUUUCUAAAUUCUCUGUGCUCCAGCUUGGAGUUCAGGAUGUGAACCAUUUAUCACAACCAUUACAUUUCUGAUGUUUCCAAAAAUUCAAUGCCAUACCUUUAUCCCCUGGCACUUUACUCCAGUGUCUGUUCCUGAAGGGAGGAAAGAGAGACUGCAGUUUUUAGCUGCCAAUAGUGAAUUCUGUUUGUAAUUUUGUAGCCUAAAAAUAACACUCUGUGAUGCUCUAUAUGAGGAGCAAAACGAGAUGACCAUUCCUUGGGAAGCGCUCAGAUUUAUUGGGAACAUGCACCAAGGCGUGAAUGUGAACUGAGAAGCUGCAAGGGAGGCGGGUGGGAGCUGGCUGCCCUUUCCAUUUCUGGACUCCUGCUGCCAUCAGAGGGAAUUUUGCACACUGAAUUUUAGGACGUUUAGGACGGAAUGCUGGCCCACAUCUGUUGUUUGUGCCUUGGGAGAAAAAACCCAUCCCUGCAAAUAUUUAUCCUCUCACCCUCAUGGUGCCACAUUUAUGGUCGAAAUGACACCUGCCUGCCUGAAGUGAUUUUGGAUGCAGGAAGAUCACCUUUUUAUCCUUGAGUUUGUGGAAUUUGAUUUUUUUUUUUUUUUUUUGAGUAAGGUAUUCUUUAAAAAAAAAAAAACAGGCGGUGACAAAGUUUUGAAGUCCCUGGGUGUCUGUUGCUCCCAAAAGUUCUGUUCGGAAAACUUUGCCAGUCUGGCGCCUCUCAGGAUCUCAGUCCCUCCCAGGCCACUGAUAAAUUGAGAUUUAAAGAAAGGUACGGUGAUUCCCCAUCUCAUUCCUAAUGACAGGAAGCUGUUAUCAUGGACUAAGCAACUUGAAACCCACUCAUCAGAAUUCCACAAAAAUAACCAAAAAUUCAUUUUUGGUCAAAACACACCAUCACUGUAGUCCUUUCAUAAUCCAGUUUGGCGAGAGCUUUUUCACCCUGAGCCUCUCAUUGGAACUUACUGAUGAGGGCACUGUAGGACAGAGCACUCCAGAGGCAUCUCCUGUUGGCCUGUCAUUUGAACAAGUGGGUUUUAGCUCAGAGCUGAACUUUUCACAGCGUGUUUCACUGAACACAUCGUGCCUUGGCUCUGAGUCAAACCUCUUGCAGUGUGAGGCCGUGUAAGCCCGAACACCUCUGUGCUGCAGAGUGAAUCAAAGAGAGAGGGGAUCUCUCUCUGCUGCUGGGUUAAUCCCUGUUGUUGUUUGGGUGUUUCUAUGAGAUGUUAUUUUAAUAAAGUGAUCAGGGCUCAGUGAACAGAAGAGAAGGCGUCUGAGAAGAACAUCUAUCUUUCUCCCAUCCUCUUUUUAACUGAGACUUACUUCCUAGACUUCUUUACGUUCUUUAGAAACAGAGUCUUUUUGCUGCCUGCUAUUUUCUUUUGCAGCCGGUUUUUGGCCCAAAUCCUGCCUGAGUUGCAGAAUUGUUACCUUUAAAUCCAGCUUUCCAAUGUUUCAGGCACAUUUUGUUUAAACACAGAACCUACCCUUUUCCUCCAAUGACAGCGUCUUGCAAAAUGGCAUCAAAUGUUUUUUGACAGGUUUGCCAGAAAUGACCAGGAGAAUAUUUAUGAUCAAAAUGCAAAAAUGUCUUCCCUUAAAAAAAAAAAAAAAUUUAAAAAUCAGUCCUGUGUUCUCCUUAAUGCAUAAAACAGAUUUUCACUGCACAUACGGUAUACAAUUCUUAAUCCUGGAAAAAGAAUGAAGUUUAUUGUGGAUAGUUUUUCUGCAGUCUCUGAAUGAGAGCAGAACAAACAGUUUACUCAGCUCAGGUGCGAGGGAAAAAAACAUCAGGGACAGAAUAAAGAUCGUUUUCAGUGGUGGUUAUUCAAAAUCAUUGAAUUUAGACUUGUCAGCCCUUUCAAACAUUAUGUCCUUAAAGUAGAAUUUUUUUGUGUGGUUUGUGUGUGCUGGCUCUCUUCCUUUUAGCUUCUUUACUCAUUUUAAAUGUCAGAGGGUGGUGAUUCCCUUUCGGAAACGGGGCAUGUGCCAAACACAAUGCUCCUGUAACUGAGCAUCCGUCCACUAGUGCUGUGGGAAGGCUGGGGCUGACGUUUCCUGGUGAAGGAGACCUCAAACUCUGCUGAUGGGCUGUGGAGAGGCAAAGGCCCCUGGAAGAAUUAGUGAAAAGCAGGCAUAAAGAACUUGCCUUGCUUCCUGUGAUCCCAAAGUUGGGAUAAAACUAGAUGUGGUCCUCACUCUUCUGAGUUUUGAGAUGACUCCUGCUGAUGCAGUCAGGGCCACGGGAAGUGGCUUGCUGUAGGAGCACAGCUACUUUUGGCAAAUUGGUUUUACAUUGUGACCCUUUUGUAUUUAAUGAUGUAGUUGUCGUGAAUUGGAAUAAUUUUUGUCUCCUGUGAACCCCAAAGUCUUUUACUCUUGCUGAUGCCUUUUUUUAUUUGCUUUGGCAUGAAAGAAAACACCGCAGGUGAUCUAAUGUGUGCAGUUUGAUAAGGAGCUUUCCCGAGGGAGUAGGUGCAAGAGGCUUGCAGGAUUGCAGUUGUACUUGGGCAUGUUUUGCAUGGCAGGCUAACAUCUGGAAGACACAUAUUUCAGCUGAAACCUACUCCUAAUCUUGGGGUUUGUGUCUGCUCUUUCUGCUACCGGUUCAUUCAUUAAUCUUCUCUGUAGCCACGCGUUUUCACCAGGGCUUUAUACGUUGUGCGUUAAGUAUUUUAAAUGGUGCCAUUCUUUCCUGCAGGCUUAAAUCCAGCAGCUCGGGAGCCCUGAUAGGAGAAGGAGAUGUGUGUUUUCUCUGUGGUGAGGGGGAGAGAGCCCCGCUCUGUGUUUGCAUGGCAGGCCUCCAGCAAGAGCGCAGGUGUUGCAAGAGGAGGCAAUGGCAACCAGAUGACAUUCCUUCCCCUUGAACUAGUGUGGAGCCAGUGCUCAAAUAGAUUGUGGGUCCAGCAGUUGGACUGGAUGAUCUUAGAGGUUCGUUUCCAGCCUAAAUGAUUCUGUGAUUCCUUCCAACAAAAUUUCAGGCUAGUGCGUUGUCUGCACGUGCCUGUGUAAAAGCCAUGGCAAUAGAGCUUGGGUUCAUCCAACUUAAAGAUGAGGGGAGUGGAAUCACUCUUGGCAAGCACUGGAAAGAUACUAGAAAAUGGUCCAGACAGUGAUUUAUCCCAGCUGAGGGCUAAACUACCUUUCUGGAGGUGCUGAAGGGGCAGCUGAUGUCAAGAGAGACCCUAAGCACUUAUCUAGAGAAAGUGCCUUGAGGUAGAUGAAAGGAAUUGAGAGCAGCAACUCUCAAAAUAUUGAGAAAAAUAUUUUAUCAACUUGUGCAAAUAUAUCCUGUUUGCAUAAAUGGUUCUGGAAAUGCCAUUGGUCUCUUCCUCUCAUACCACUGUGUGUGUGUGGGAUGGCAGCGUGCUCUUAACCACACACCCCACAAUUUUUUUAUCUCAUUUACCAACACAGAGGAGUUUUCACAUCCCUCUUUGGUAAAAUGGCUCUGCAUCAGCCAAGUGUGGAAAGGGCUUUGAUAACCUUCAAGGUGAAACACUUGUCAGCUCUCACUUUAUCCAGGAACGGAUUAUCUGGGCUGUGGAAUAAUGAGGUCAUGUCUUUCCUCCACGCCGCUGGCAAGAGCUUCAAAUUUCACACAGGGGCAGCUGCUUACAUCGAGCCUGCCCUGCUUAAUGCUGCUUAAAGCUACCCCCCUUCUCUGUCAGCGAGUUUUCCCCAAACUGAGGGUGUGAAAUGUGUUCACACAGCCUUCUUUGCAGGACGUGUGAGGGGGUUUCGCGGUGCUUGGGUCGCUGCGUUAUCCCAGAGUGGGUUGGGUUGGAUGCAGGAGUGCAGGGUGCAAGAAGCAGCAGAGUGACUUGUGUGUGCUACUGCAGCAACAAACCCUGCCUGUGAGGGAUGGAGAGGAGGAUUUGGUGGGUGGCAGGUGAGUGUCCCAUCCUCAGCUUGCUGCGCUGCCUCUGCUCUAAACCUGCAGCUUUAAUGCAGAGCUGUUGCACUGAGAGUGGCCACGGACAUGAAAGAUCCCUAAAGCACACAAGUUGUGGGUGUUAAAGCCUAUGGGUGCUUAAGUAGAUUAGCAAACAAACAAAUCCUUUAAUAUUCUGGAAUGCUUCCUCACCACCUAAGUAGGGAUUAUUCCACCAAGCCUGCAAAUUCUACCCUUCUACCUAGUGUGCAGUCUGCCUUGCAGAUAACUGUGCUCUUUAAUAAGCAGCUCUCUUAGGUUAAAAGGAAAAUAUGAAAGCAUAUUGAAAACUUCAAGAAGAGCACAAAAAUGGCAGAGAGACCUGUUAAAAAUGUUCAAGACCCCGUGAAAACUGAGGUUACUGCAGUGCUGGCAGUAGCACCCAUAGGAUGCUGCACCAGAAAGGUCCCUGCAACAGAAAAUUGUUAGGUUUAAAAUUUGUUUUACAGAGCUCUCCACCCUUUUUUUGUACAAAUAUGUGACAUAGCUCAGCCACCACUUUCUUCCUAGCGCUGUAAAUAUCUUGGCUAAACUGUCAGCUUUCUAUCUGAAACGUGUAGAAACAACCGGUUACCUCGGUCUGAUUCCGCUUCCAGGCUUUCAUCAUCUGUAAUUUUGGUAAAAAGCUGCUUUUGUUAAUGUGUAAUGCAUCAUAGUAACCGGUUACACUUUUACUACAAAAGGGUGUUUUAUUUUCCCGAGGGAUGAAUAGUAAUCAAGGAUCAGCUGGUAGUGCCAAGUGCCCUGAUAACACAAUUGGCUGCAUACAGCUUUGUUAGGCCCCUUCCUGCCCUUGCCGGGAAGACUUAAGAGAAGAUGUUGGGAGAGCUGUUCUUUACCUACUUGGCUGUUGGGGAACUGAAUUUUGGGAUCACUUUGUCUGCCGGGUGAGAAGAAAUGGAGCCCUGCAUCCCUGAAAAUGGAACACAGUGGAAACCCUUUUGAUCUUUCUUCCCAAGAUCGUGCAUUAACAACAUGGUGGCAGUACUAAGGUUGCUCCUUGUGCAGUGGACACAACAGAGAAGCACCUGACCAAGCCCAGGCCUAACAGAAUGACUACAAUUGUUGAUACUUGUGAAAGCUGCUAACAAUGGAGAAGUGCAUCUGGUCACUUGGGAAGGCACAGCACUGCUCAACUUUUCCUCCUGCAGCUGUCAGGCUGCAGCUCAGGGGUGCAGUUUCAAAGCUGCUGGUGGAUGAGUGCUCAUGCAGUGAGGUGGUGGGUUUGCUCAGGGAGGUCACACAGUGCAGCACUUCUCAGCUCUUUUCAAUAUUUCUGAGUUGGAAGCUUUCCCUUGGAGAAGUUGUAUGACACGGUGGAAUGUCUUUCUUCUUUAUAUCUGUGUUGGCUAAAGGAAGACAGAGGAGCUUGAAAAGGCUCGCCCUCCUCAAGGAACGCUAUCUGAUUUGUAAGCAUUCCUAGAGGUUAAGGCUGGUGACUAUCAAGAAAGCAAAUACUUCACGCAAGGCCAGAGCUUUAGGAGCAGGUGCUAGCCUUUUGCUUCCUUUCUGCUUCCUCUGUGGGGAACGGGCUGGAAAGAGCCAACUAAUUAGAAAAUUCUACAGGGAAAUUAAUUCUGCAAACAGCUGAGGAAUGGCAUUUCAGCAUAAUGCUCACUUUGUCUGUCAGCAGAGCACUGGUUGGCUUCACAAGUGGCAGCUCUCCCAGAUGUUACACAUGUUGUGAUGAGACCAGAACUGCAUCAUAUGUUGCCCGUUUACUAAGAGACGUGGUGCUCUGGAAGAGUAAAUACACUAAAACCAACCUCUGGGACAUGCUAUGUUGCUGUCACAAGGCAGCUGCAUGGUUUUUUUACGUAGUUUUUUUUUUUUUUGAAGUGUA